rnacentral:rRNA from 1 species
GCAAGUCGAACGGAAACAUGUCUAGCUUGCUAGAUGAUGUCGAGUGGCGGACGGGUGAGUAAUGCUUGGGAACUUGCCUUUGCGAGGGGGAUAACAGUUGGAAACGACUGCUAAUACCGCAUAAUGUCUUCGGACCAAACGGGGCUUAGGCUCCGGGGCAAAGAGAGGCACAAGUGAGAUUAGCGAGUUGGUGAGGUAAAGGAACACCAAGGCAACGAUAUCUAGCUGUUCUGAGAGGAAGAUC